rnacentral:rRNA from 1 species
AACGAACGCUGGCGGCAGGCUUAACACAUGCAAGUCGAGCGCCCCGCAAGGGGAGCGGCAGACGGGUGAGUAACGCGAGGGAACGUAACCUUUGCUACGGAAUAGCUCCGGGAAACGGGAAUGAAGACCGUAUGUGCCCAACGGGGGAUAGAUUUAUCGGCAAAGGCUCGGCCGGCGUUGGAUUAGCUAGUGGGUGGGGUAAUGGCCUACCAAGGCGACGAUCCAUAGCUGGUCUGAGAGGAAGAUCAGCCACAUUGGAACUGAGACACGGCCGAAACACCUACGGGAGGCAGCAGUGGGGAAUAUUGGACAAGGGGUGCAAGUCUGGUCCAGCCAUGGCGCGUGAGGGAUGAAGGCCUUAGGGUUGUAAAGCUCUUUCACCGGAGAAGAUAAUGACGGUAUCCGGAGAAGAAGCCCCGGCUAACUUCGUGCCAGCCGCCGCAGUAACAC